GAUGAAGAACGCAGCGAAAUGUGAUAAGUAAUGCGAAUUGCAGAUCUCCGUGAGUCAUUGAAUCUUUGAACGCACAUUGCGCCCUCGGGUAUUCCCGAGGGCAUGCCUGUCCGAGCGUCAUUAUCCAACCAUCAAGCUCGGCUUGCGGUUGAGCCCCGCACCGUCCCCGGGACGGUGGGCUCGAAACAUGUUGGGCGCCCGUGAGGUUGUCGGUGCAGCGAGCUCUCGAGCACGUGCCGGGCAACCGCUCUGGGCGUCGGCCAGCCCCCCCAUUUUCUCAGGUUGACCUCGGAUCAGGUAGGAAUACCCGCUGAACUUAAGCAUAUCAAUAAGCGAGGA
rnacentral:misc_RNA from 1 species